GGAGCCGUAGUUCACCGGUUAGAACGCGAUCCUUAUAAGAUCGAUGCAGAAGGUUCGAUUCCUUCCGGCUCCACAA
rnacentral:tRNA from 1 species